GUGCUCACUUUGGCAGCACAAAUACUAAAAUUGGAUACAGAGGAGAUUAGCAAGCUUUUGAGCAAGGAUGACAUGCAAAUUUGUGAAGUGUUUCUUUUUUUU
ensembl:snRNA U6 U6 spliceosomal RNA